ensembl:lncRNA
GUGAACAAGUUUUCUAUUGCUACUAUAACAGAUUACCAUAAAUGCAGCUACUUACAAAGCACAAAUUUAUUGACUUACAAUUUUGUAGGCUAGAAGCCCAACACCAUGGUUUCACCAUGCUAAAAUCAAAGCGGAUCUGUAUUCCUAGUGAUUGUAGGACUACUAAGGGCUUCAUUUUCUUGCUCUCAGCUGUGGGCCUUCCCAGCUUCCAGAGACCACCCACUUUCCUUGACUCGUGGCCCACUUCUGUUUUCAAAGCCAGCAGCAGCUGGUUGAUUCCUUCUCAAGCUAAGAAUGUCUGUUCCUCCUUUCAUCUCAUCUCUAACCUAGCUGGGAAAGGUUCUCUGCCUGUGAGGAUUUCUUUGAUUAUAUUGGGCCCACACUGAUAAUCGAGGAUUAUCUCCACUGUCUCAAGGACCAUACCCUUAAUCACAUCUGCAGAGUCCCUUUUGCCAUGGAACUGUAAGGUUAAAAAGAUCAAGUGGCAUGAGCAGCCUUUUGGGGAAAAUCGGAGCCAAGAAGCAGAAGAUGAGCACCCUAGAGAAGUCCAAGCUGGACUGGGAGAGCUUCAAAGAGGAAGAGGGCAUUGGCGAAGAGCUAGCCAUCCACAACCGAGGGAAGGAGGGGUACAUCGAACGAAAAGCUUUUCUAGACCGAGUGGAUCACAGGCAGUUUGAAAUCGAGCGAGAUCUCAGGCUGAGCAAAAUGAAACCCUGAUGUGAUGGGGAGCCCCCGCAGCUCAGUCCUCUUUAUAGCGUGAGCUUAUGUGUCUGUGAGAUGUUUCCUGUGCUUCUCAUCGACUGGCUCCCAGCAAGGUCCUUUUUUCUACACUGAAUUUCUGUCUUUGUAUCUUGAUCUCACAUGAUUUCAUUUGUUUUACUUUUAAUAGUUUGUCCUUUCAAAAAUAAAGAUUAAAAAAAAAAGUACAAGUUGAUCCUGUGAGAGGCUGGUGAGGAUGACGCCACUUGCCUUCCCUUUGUUCUGCUGCGAAGUCCACGAGGCCAAGCCCGUUCCUCGCAGGCCUGUCUCGGCCGCUGUGGAGAAGAGAGCGCGCGGCCCGCUCACCGUGGGCCCGAGAGCAGGGGCUGAGACGAGGCUCGCCAUGCUGGCAUGAUGCCAGGCCCCGCGCUUCUCUCCUGACUGGACUCCUCCACCCGGAUACAAUGUAAAGAUGUAAGGCUGAAAAAUAAGGAUAUGCCAUCACUGAAUUAGAGAUCUUUCUUUUCCUUCAGCCUUUCUCCUCUCCUCAAAGUUAAAGUCAACUUCCCAUGUUUCUCAUCUCAAUAAUUCUUUGAUUGGGGGUUUGUCAAAGAAAACUACAAAGGACUCUUUUUUUUUAACUCUUUAGAAGAUUUAAAUUCCAAACUUCAUAUUAAUAAAGCAGUAAAC